rnacentral:rRNA from 1 species
AUUGAACGCUGGCGGCAGGCCUAACACAUGCAAGUCGAGCGGAUGAACGGAGCUUUCGCCUGGCUUCAGCUGCCGACGGGUGGGUAAUGCCUACGAAUAUGCCUGGCAUAGGGGGAUAACGUCCGUACACGGGCGCUAAUCCCGCAUACGUCCUUAUGGAGAAAGGGGGGGAUCUUCGGACCACACGCUAUCAGAUGAGCCUAGGUCGGAUUAGCUAGUUGGUGGGGUAAAGGCCUACCAAGGCGACGAUCCGUAACUGAUCUGAGAGGAUGAUCAGUCACACUGGAACUGAGACACGGUCCAGACUCCUACGGGAGGCAGCAGUGGGGAAUAUUGGACAAUGGGCGAAAGCCUGAUCCAGCCAUGCCGCGUGUGUGAAGAAGGUCUUCGGAUUGUAAAGCACUGUAAGUUGGGAGGAAGGGAAGUGAGUGUAUACCUUGCUGUCUUGACGGUACCAACAGAAUAAGCAACGGCUAACUUCGUG